rfam:Hordeum vulgare subsp. vulgare, WGS project CAJW01000000 data, contig: morex_contig_58355
UAAAUACUUCCUCCGUCCGGAAAUACUUGUUUUAGAAAUAAAUGUAUCUAGACUUAUUUUAGUUAUAGAUACAUCUAUUUUAUAUGUUUUUAGGACAAGUAUUUCCGGACGGAGGUAGUAUGUU